rnacentral:rRNA from 1 species
UUGGCUCUCGUUCCAUAAAGUAAGGGAAAAACCUUCUUGAAGACAGCCGAGUAACACGUGGGAACGGACCUUUUGGUUCGGGACCACACACGGAAACUUGUGCUAGUGCCGGAUAAGCCCUUACAGGGAAAGAUUUAUCGCCGAAAGAUCGGGCCGCGCCUGAUUAGAUAUGUGGUGAGGUUAUGGGACUCCCUAGCAACUAUCACUUCCCGGCCCGAUAGGACGAUCAUUCUCAUUGGGACUGAGACACGGCCCAAACUCCCACGGGAGGUAGCAGUGGUCAACACCUUCCACUGGGGGCAACCCCGACCCACCCCUGUCCGCGGGAGUAAUAAAUGGCCUCAGCUUGUGAAGCUCUUUUCUCUCGCUAGAUAAAGAUCGCCCCGCAUACGAAUAAGCCCCGGCUAACUUCGUGCUCCCAGCCGCCGUGUAUACAGAGUGGGAAUAGCAGUGCUCGUAAUCACUGACGCGGUAAGGGAGUGUCGACGGGUGUUUAAGUCCUGGGCCGAAAUCCUGGAAUUUAAACUCCGGAACUGCCUUUGGUGCUGAACAUCCGUGAGAUCCCUCAGAGGUUUAUUGUAACCGCCCAGUGCCCCCCUUGGACAGUCCGCCUAUAUUUCCCCAGCACCCCCAUUGGGGGAGAGCGGCUCCCCUGACGCGGGGACUGUCCCCCUUAUUGCACAAAAGCUCUGCGCAGGAGAACACAAUUAGGAUUCCCUGGCCUAUCCUUCCCCUCA